AAAAGUCGUAACAAGGUUCCCGUAGGUGAACCUGCGGAAGGAUCAUUAAAGAAAUUAAAUAAUUUUGAAAAUGGAUUUUUUUGUUUUGCCAAGAGCAUGAGAGCUUUUACUGGGCAAGAAGACAAGAGAUGGAGAGUCCAGCCGGGCCUGCGCUUAAGUGCGCGGUCUUGCUAGGCUUGUAAGUUUCUUUCUUGCUAUUCCAAACGGUGAGAGAUUUCUGUGCUUUUGUUAUAGGACAAUUAAAACCGUUUCAAUACAACACACUGUGGAGUUUUCAUAUCUUUGCAACUUUUUCUUUGGGCAUUCGAGCAAUCGGGGCCCAGAGGUAACAAACACAAACAAUUUUAUCUAUUCAUUAAAUUUUUGUCAAAAACAAGAAUUUUCGUAACUGGAAAUUUUAAAAUAUUAAAAACUUUCAACAACGGAUCUCUUGGUUCUCGCAUCGAUGAAGAACGCAGCGAAAUGCGAUACGUAAUGUGAAUUGCAGAAUUCCGUGAAUCAUCGAAUCUUUGAACGCACAUUGCGCCCCUUGGUAUUCCAGGGGGCAUGCCUGUUUGAGCGUCAUUUCCUUCUCAAACAUUCUGUUUGGUAGUGAGUGAUACUCUUUGGAGUUAACUUGAAAUUGCUGGCCUUUUCAUUGGAUGUUUUUUUUCCAAAGAGAGGUUUCUCUGCGUGCUUGAGGUAUAAUGCAAGUACGGUCGUUUUAGGUUUUACCAACUGCGGCUAAUCUUUUUUUAUACUGAGCGUAUUGGAACGUUAUCGAUAAGAAGAGAGCGUCUAGGCGAACAAUGUUCUUAAAGUUUGACCUCAAAUCAGGUAGGAGUACCCGCUGAACUUAAGCAUAUCAAU
rnacentral:rRNA from 1 species